AAAGAAGCUUGAAGUAUAAAGCAAGAUGAAAGUUGAACAAAAUCUUGCAGAGUGAGAAAGAAUUGCUAAAUGAGAUGUUUGAGAUCUUGUGGGAGUUGAUGAACUCAUGGACAGAAAAGAGAACAAUUCUCCUAUUAAAAGUAAGUAACUCUUUUUCAUAUGAUUGCUUUGUGAUCUUUUCUAACCUUAUAAUCUAUAAGCGAUGGACUGAUGGUUAAUUGUCUUUUUAUCCCUCCUUAGUCCUUGGUGCCUCUUUGAAUAAAUUUUUUACUUACCAAAUGAAAAAAAAGUGUCAUGAGGCCGUUAUCAAGACAUUGAUUUUAUCAUCAAAGACAGUUGCAAUAGUAUGUUGGAUGAGAAAGUUGCUCCCCUUAUAGUUUUCAACCUAUUGCAUUUGUGGAGUAAAGAUAGAUGCUUAUUGACUCUUCCACAAUUUAAAACUUUUCAUUUUCUCAAUGGAGGGGAGAAUGAUGCAGAACUAGACCGGAAGUAUUGAUUAUUAGUAAAUUAAUUUAUGUUAUUAAUUUGGAUAAAAUGAUUGUAAUUAUUUUAAAUCUUUGAAGUAUAGUAGAUAGUAAUUUAAAAUAUAGUAGAUAAUAAUUAGGAAUCUAGGUUAAUUAGGCUGUUUAAGUAUUUUGGGGAUCUACCUAUGUAUAAAUUAGGUAAUAGCUAUUCCUUUUAAUAGGAUACUGAUACAUUGAGAGGAGAAGGUGAACAGAAUUUCUAGUUUAGCAAACUUCAUUAACCAGUGUUGGAAAAAAAUGCUGUAAUUUUCUAUACAUGAUUCUAAAUUGUUCACCUUUUGAAGUAUUGGAAACUAGAUUCAUAAACCUUUCAAAUGACAAUUAAUUUGUGUGAAAACUUUAAGUAGAAGAACAGUCCAUAAUUGUCCAGAAACAAUGGCUGCGCAUCUUCUUCUUCUUCUUCCUUUGUUUUUUAUAGUUUUAAUUCAUUACAACCAUGGGGGAUAGAUUGGGGGGGGNNNNNNNNNNNNNNNNNNNNNNNNNNNNNNNNNNNNNNNNNNNNNNNNNNNNNNNNNNNNNNNNNNNNNNNNNNNNNNNNNNNNNNNNNNNNNNNNNNNNUGCAAAGGCCAGCUAAACCAUCCAAGCUAAUGCUUGGUGGUAUGGCUGCACAUUUUCCCUUGUUUCUUAGUUACUUUAACUGUGUUUUGAGUUUCCUUAUGAGUCCGUCAAUUUGGUCUCUAGUUAUUACCAUACAUGUAUUUAAGCCUAUAAAUGUGGGAGGGGGGCAGGUUAGUGCUUUGAAUGUUUUGUUGAUUUGAAUAUAUAUGUUGAGCUUUGCUCUUUUUUAUCUAAUUUUCUUCUCUUUGAGAUAUUUUAAAUUUCUAUAGUUUGUCCUUGACCUUGUUCUCCCGCAUCAGAUACCUAUCAUAUCUUAAUAGUAUUAAAGUUUUACUUGGUAUCUAACAUUAGAGUUUAUUUAGUCAAUAAGUAUUAGGUUUUCUAUACGAGUCUUGCAUUCCUUACAUAAUGAAUAAAGAAUUGAAUAUUGAUUUGAGAUUGAGCUUUAUGCCAUUUUGGCCUUGGGGCAUGGUUUUUCUUCCGCUAUCCCCUUCUUUCUUCCUCCUUUAUCCCUUCCCUAAAUCCGUCUAGACCUUGUCCUGCAUCAAUGUGAUAAAAGAAUUUAUUCAAACUUGUGUGUCGUAUGUCCAUAACUUUAUAUCAAAAGAAAGCUUACCAAUGUUCUUUCUUUGCAAUUAAUACUACCCUUCCAUCUCCAGAUAAGAUUUUUUUUACCUCUCUACAUAAAAGUCAUGCACACCAUUCAAAGGGCCUUUAGAAUAAUAAAAUAAAACAUAUGGUUAGUAGGAAAACAACUUGAGGUGAGUACUCUGGCUUCAGACAAUCCUCAGCUCCCACCACCCAAAACACUAUACUUAUAAUCUCUCAAAAAAUUUAGGACUGCUCUCCAUGUCCAUUCUUGAUGUCAAUUUACCACUUGUUAAUACAAAAAACUUCAACCAUUCCUGAAAUUUGUUAUAUUUUCCUUGUGUACAAAGUUUGGCAAUGGCCAUUCCAAUAGACGCCUUGGCGUCCUGGCGCAUGAGCAUGCAACAAGUCGAUACUAGCGCCUUGGCAGCUAGGCGUCCACAAGUCGUCGCCGAGGCGACACCUCCAAGGUGAGCGCCAAGGCAACUUGGUCAAAUUGGAAGACAAUCCUAAAAAUUUCUGUCCACUUCAACUUGUCGACCCACACUCAACAUCACUUGACGAUGUUUGCGACACACACAACAACUAUUAGGGAAACUUCUGUUACAGAAGGCAAAAGAAAAAAUAUAAAGAAGACCAGAAGAAGAAGAAGAAGAUAUGAAGAGCUGAAAAGAAAAAGAAACGGGUUGGGGCAUAAGAAGAAGAAAGAAUAAAGUGCCUUUUGACUUCUAGCUGUCACCAACUAGCUAUUAUUGUUCUUUUUGUCUUUUUUGUUAAAUUUAAUUGCUAGCUGUCAUCCACUAAAGAUUUUAAUGUACUGAAGUGAUUCAUUGCCGCUUAACAAAACAAAAUAGAUGUGUUCCACGUGUUUGUUCUACAUGCUGGUCAUGAUUUUUUUUAACAAAAUAAUAAAUACUUUUUUCUUCUCAUAAAAAAGUAAUAAAAUAAUAUUUUUUUUAAAAAAGAAGUAACCCUCUCUUUCUCCAUGAAUUAUUAGUUGAAACUUAGUUUUAUUGCAUGUACAAUAACUCUUAAAAGUUAUAAUUUUUACCACAUAAAUCAUAAAAACUCGUGUAACUCUAAAUAAUAUAUAAAUAAUAUUUUUUCCCUAAAAUUAAAUGUAUAUUUUAUAUUGGUUUAAUGUAUUUUUUAGUGCAAGACAUGAGAAAAAUGCAUGAGAAAAUUAAAUAAUAAUUUUGGUUCAUUGUACUUUUGAUGUAAAAUAAAUAAUAUAUAAAUUGCAUACUGUGAACGACUUGUCGUCAUACGGACGCCAUGAUGGGCGCUUUAUCGCCUAGGCGUUGCCGCAUUGGUGGUUAGCUACUGUCGUGCCUCGCCGUGGCGCAGUGACAACUAUAACCAUUACAAGGAUGUAGUUAAAAAUGAUGAAUACCUAUGUGAUUUGUUGAUUACUUGUAGUGAAAUACUUCCUCUGCCCUCAAUUAUUGAAACACUUUUUUUUGGUGUGUGACACGGAGUUUAAGAUGAAUCAAAAACAUAUUUAGAUAUUAUAGCUUAUGUAUAUUUAUAUAUUUUGGCAUAUUUAGAUGUUAUAUUUUUAUUUGUAGUACAAAUUUUUAAUAAUAUAAUAUUUAAAUAUAAUUUUGGCAUGUCUUAAAAUCCGUGCCAGACACCAAAAAAAGUGUUUCAAUAAUUGUGGGACGGAGUAUAACAAUGUCCUAUGCAUUACCCAUGUUGUUCAUUCUCACUCAUGUCAAUUAUCAUAUGUUGGCAUUAAUGUUUUGUUUGCUUGGGUUACUCCUAGUUUGAUUUAUCAGAAUCAGAAAAUCAACUAUUAUACUUCCUCCGUUCCAAGUUAUAAAAUCGACCCAACUAUUAUAAUCCCUCCGUUCCAAGUUAUAAAAUCAUUAUUGACUUUAGAAAAUCAAUUUACAUUUUUAAACUAAAAAAUUAUAUGCUUCAUUAACAAUUAUGAAAACAUAAAUCUUAUAAUUUUAUAGUACUUUUUACAUAGUUUAUGAUAUUCAUCAUUGCAUUGACUAAAAUUUAAAAAAUUUAUGUCAAUAAUGAUCUUAUAUGUUGGAACGGAGGGAGUAUUAUAAUAAACCUUGUUUGCUGUAAUCUUUGUAUUUGUUUUCUUAGAUUCAGAAUUUGACUUAUUACCUAUUAAUACAGCCUCUCUUCAACUCUUGGUGGGAAAUGGCAAAACAUGCUAAGGUUUAAAAACAAGAAUUAGGUUUGAUGAGGAUCCAAGAUUGCUUAUUUGGUGCCUCGAUGGUCUUCUCUGCUAACACUGGCUUGGGUUCCCCAGUGGUAAAGUUUUUCUGUUCAUAUCUUUUAUAUGCUUUUCAAUUUUCAUUAUUUUACCCAUCACAUAUUGUUACUUGGACAAAUAUUUCUUUAAAUUAAUGCUCAAUUUUCAUUAUUUUACCCAUCACAUAAUGUUACUGAGAACACUUUCUUUAAAUAAAUGCUAUACAUCAAAUUUUGCCUUGAUAUAGUUGUGGUGAAUUACUCAUUGUUCUUUUGUUCUCAAUUUUGACUAAAUAUACGCCAAGCAGAUUUUUUAUGUAGGUUUUGGUGCAGUAUUGAUACUUGAGAGGUUGAUGAUUCUUGUAGAUAACUUGCUGUAUCAAUGAUAAACGUGCAUUCGUUUCAUCAAAGUUGAUUGUAUUUCUCAAUUCGUCCUUCUCUGCUUCAUCUUCUUUUAGCCAUCUUUUUAAGGUAAUAUGCUUAAUUGAACUUUAUUUCGUAUUUUGUUCAUAAAAAAGUGUUCUACAAAUUUUUAGAUGAGAUGGCAUAUAAUGCCUCCAAUCACAUGCUGAUCCACAUUCUACCUCACACUUUUAUACGAAUUACCUUUGUCACAUUCAUGCUUUAGUAAGUCCCUUCUGGCAUGCUUAACCUAGAGCUCCCAAGUGAUGCUGACCAAGUUUUUGAUGACUGAAUCAUGUUUGUGGUCCAUCAGUUGACAUCGUUAAGAUUUUGUAAUGUUUCUUUUUGAGCCUUAUCUUUUUUUACAUCUCCAUAUAGAAGAGGGAACUAAGAAAUUUCAGUUAAUGAAGAUUUGAGGGACUUAUAAUUGCCCCCUUCUAUGUAUAUCACUGUCACACAUUGCUCACUCAUUUAUCUCUUCACUCUUUUAUACCGGUGACCUCUGUAAAAUUUCUGCUUUAGAAAGAUCUUCUGGCAUCUUCAGGUCGAAUUUUUCCAGAGGCGCUGGGAGUUAAGAACCCAAUCUGAUGGCAGACAAUCAUCCUUUGCAUUCACAUGUAGUGAAUGUCCUAUAAUUGACCUUACCGACAUGGCUCUCCAUGUAAUUAGAUAGGUCUCCUAUUUCAAAAUCUAGGGGCUCAAGACAAUAUGCUUUUACCUCCAAACUAACACACAAUUAUCAAUAUGAACCUAAAUUUCUACGAGCAAUAUUAAGGUGCUGAUUGGAUCUUUCCUGCUGCUGGGUAUUUUUUAAGAAUCUCCAACACAUACCUUUUUUUUCUGAUUGAUUUAUGUUUUUAUUGCAUAAUAAUUUUUCGUCAUGGGUUUACAGAUAUUGCAUAAUGGGAUUUUGUAGGUGAAACAAGUGCUGCCAGUGUGCUAGUGAAGCUUAAGUUUAAUCGAUAUACUCGGUUUCAUUACAUGAUAAUAAUUUGGAUCUUCUUGGUCGACAGGCAUAUGUGAGUUCUCUAGUUGGUUUGCAUUUUUUUCAUUCUCUUCUAGAUAUUUGUUUAUAGUGUUCUGAUAUGUUUGUUAUGGAACAUAUUUUUUUUCCAGUUUGUCGCCUAAGGGAUUGGGACCUAGGAUUUGGUCUAAUCUAAUCAUUCACGAUUGCCUGCAGCUCAGGAGGUUUUUGAGAGCAUUAGUUUUUCCCCUGUGAGGAGAGAGGGUAAUAUGGUUGCCCAUGGGUUAACUAAAUUGGUUCAUUCUCCUGUGUUUUUUGUUUUUGUGUUUAAUGGGAGGAGUACCUGAUUUUAUCCUUCCUCUUGUUACUUUGGAUGCUCUGCCUUAAUUUAUUUAAGUCCUUUUUUGGGCUGUUUCAAAAAUAAAAUAAAAUAAAAAUAUGC
rnacentral:lncRNA from 1 species